GAAAUUGUUAAACGAAUUUACCUGCCGAAAUGCUAUGUAGAUCUGAUCUGUAAAGCGAAAACGAAGUAGACAAUCACAUGCACUGUAUGGUUUUUUUCAAAAGACUGACAUGUUACUCGGUCGGCGAUCAUAAACUGAUCAUUUAGCCAACCUUUCUGAUUCUUAGCACUUGGUAGAUGUUUGCUGAAUACUAGACGGAAAAUUACGUGAAAUGUGUUGACAGAGAACGCU